rnacentral:misc_RNA from 1 species
CGAAUUGACACAACGGGAUCGAGGCGCAACGAAGAACUGGUUUCGGGAUAAUUUCGCUUAUGUCCGCAAUUUAGAAUAUCUAAAGCAUUCCCUAGACGACUUUGACAAGUUGCGCGGAAAAACUGAACCCCAUGAGUAUAUAUAUAAAUCGUGUCGAAUAGCUGUCGCGCAUGCUGGAAAGGACUCUAAAUCUGACCCUGAUGAUGCGAGCGAACUACAACGACUGCACGCAGCAGCCAAUAUCAUGCAGGUGCUUGCCCGU